rnacentral:rRNA from 1 species
AAUGAACGUUGGCGGCGUGGAUUAGGCAUGCAAGUCGUACGAGAAGUCUUUUUUGCUUGCAUUAAAGACGGACAGUGGCGAAAGGGAGAGUAACGCGUGGAUAUCUGCCCCUAGACCCGGGAUAGCUGAGAGAAAUUUCAGGUAAUACCGGAUAAUGUCUUCGGACCAAAGGUGUGAUUCCGUCUAGGGAUGAGUCCGCGUCCUACUAGCUUGUUGGUGGGGUAAUGGCCUACCAAGGCAACGAUGGGUAGCGGGUGUGAGAGCAUGGCCCGUCUCACUGGGACUGAGACACUGCCCAGACACCUACGGGUGGCUGCAGUCGAGAAUCUUCCGCAAUGGGCGCAAGCCUGACGGAGCGACGCCGCGUGCGGGAUGAAGGCCUUCGGGUUGUAAACCGCUGUCAGUUGGGAGGAAAUGCUAUGGGGCACUCUCCAUAGUUUGACCGAUCUUCAGAGGAAGUCCGGGCUAAGUUCG